UACAGAGGUCCCAAGCGUUGUUCGGAUUCACUGGGCGUAAAGGGUGCGUAGGCGGUCGGGUAAGUCUGAUGUGAAAUCUCACAGCUUAACUGUGAAACUGCAUUGGAUAAUAUCCGGCUCGAGGAAUGGAGGGGAGACUGGAAUACUUGGUGUAGCAGUGAAAUGCGUAGAUAUCAAGUGGAACACCAGUGGCGAAGGCGAGUCUCUGGACAUUUCCUGACGCUGAGGCACGAAAGCCAGGGGAGCAAACGGG
rnacentral:rRNA from 1 species